rnacentral:misc_RNA from 1 species
AAUUUGUUCACCAAAAUCAACUGUGACAUUUUCUGCUGGAAUGCCCUUUGCAAAAAUUGUUAAAACCACUUCCUCUGGCUUCUGGUAGUAUUCAUGUCUGUUCAAUUAUCAAUUGUCAACAUCCACACAACUGAAACAGUAUAUUAACAUUCAACAGGGCCAAAAAAUUAAAAAUUGAAUAAACAACAAAAAUUGGCAAGAUUGUCCCUGCUGUCUUUGCAAAGAUGACCAAUAAUCUAAAAUUUAUUUCUAGUAUACAGGCAAAAAAAAUCAAUAAAUUUAAACAUGAAGAGGGUAAAGCAAUUGGAAAUGUAUUCUACAUAGAGGCACAAUUUCUCAGGUUCAACCAAACACCUAAAAGUUUGCUAUGUUAUCCCUGUAUUGGCAUUUUUGCUUGGGUUGAUAAAAGGUCAUUUCCAUCAAAAUCAAUUGCAUUCUAGAUUAAUGGGUUCACGUCGUAAACUAUUUAUUCCAAAAAUAAACCUUUUGGUGAGAUAUUUUUGCCCUUUUUACUUAGACUGUGAAGCCACAGUAUUGAAGAAAAGAUAAGUUGUAUAUGCCCCGCAAGUGUGCCCUUAUCUCACUUUAUACAUGGGUGAAGCUAUUUAUUAUACAUGUACAAAUAGAAAUUGAUGGAUGGUAACAAAAAUGAAAUCAGAAUUGAGACCAACAAAAUCAAGAGGAAUAAAUGAUUUUUUCUAUUUUUUAUUUUCAAAAAAGGAUGAAGCGUGUACAAGGAAAAAGAAAAACAAAACCCAUAGUAC